CACACCCGGAGGCCCAGGGCCUUGUCUGGCCCGGACAAACUCUGUAGCCCCCACUGCAGCUCAGGUGGGGAAAGCUUGGUAGAGCCUUGCCUUUUCAUCCACGGGGCGAACAGCCAGCCCUGCCCAAAGCAAAGGGCAGCAGCUCCCGCAGCUAGGCAAGGGCCAGACUCUCAAAAUGAUGCCCAGUGCUCUCAGGUGCCCGCCUCUACCCAAGCGGUUUCUCAAGGACCACUUCCGGCUGCUACUCUUUUGUUCAGUUAGUUUUAAUUUACAGGGGCUGAAGGAGGGAACUGCCGAGGCCUGGGGUGGUGGUACAACCUGCCCCAAUCUUUUAGGCCUGUGUAGGUUACAAGACUUCAUGGGAAGAUGAGUUUGAGCGGUGGCGAAGAGGAGGAACCUGGCUUUUUCCAAUAGUGGCUUCUCCUGUGAUACAGCAGGGGCAAGGAGUUAACUGUUUGGGCUCCGGGUGCCCCUUUGCCACAGGUCACCCUAACCCUAAACCAGCUGACCCCUUUAAACCUGGUUGCUGCGCGGUGACCCUCUCCAAGGCCCUCCACUGGGUUCUCCAGAGAAAAGCCGUCCAUUCCUCUCCACAGGCCGAGGACUCAGCAGUGCUCUGAGGCCAAUCGGCUUUAGGCUUGCUGUGGGAAGGACUAGGAUGGCGGCGGGGCGGUUCUUCUCAAACCCUGCCAUCAUCCUUAGGGAUCAGCCUACUUGAAUGCCUGGUGCCUCUAUAAGCCCCCAAAGGGAGUCUCAGUCCAGCCUUGGACUGAGAACCCGGAAGGAGAAGAGUCACACACAGGCCGGAGUUCUGGAGUACAAGAACAGGGGACUUGGAGUCUGAGCGAGGCCCAGAGGAGGGGACCUGCCUGCCGCCCUCAGCCCUCAGCCUCUUUGGCAACCGGGCCUCUCCAUAGCAACGGCUAUGUGUAAGCAGCGCCUCCUCCUCCUUCCCCCCUCCUCCCUCUCCUCCUUCUCUCCCUCCUCCUCAUCCUCCCUCUCUCCUCUUUUUACCCCCCUUUCCUGUCCACCCCCACUGGACUUGGAGAUGACAGAAUACUGGGACGGGGACACAGACUUCUCUAUGACGAGAAGCUCUGUCUCCCAGGUACCUUGCGUACCCUUAGGGUGAGCGAAUGCAUCACGUACCCAGGGCAAGGGCGCUCACCCUUUGCUUGCCCACUGCUCUCCUUUGGCUCCCCUACUGCGGUUACAGUGUCCUAAGGUCAUGGGGGUGGGCGCAGCGGGGGAACACAGGGGCCUGCAGCCCAGGGCGAGACCUGCACUACGCCCAGGAGAUCUGGGCGGGGCAGCGGAGUCGGGGCGCGCGGGUCCUGCUUAUAGGAACUCGCACAGCCUGCAGGAUGUUCGCGGGCCUUGUGCUCCGGCCCAGAGCCAGGGUUCGGCUAGAGGCGAAGCACCUAGAGUACCCUAAAGGAGGCACACUCCAAGAUGCUGCUCAGCACCACCCCACUUGCUCUCUUCGCCUUUGAUGGUCCCGAGCCACAAGCAGGUGUGGGGCACAGUCCCUUUGCUCCAAGUGGCAGGGACCCCUCGCGGUUACUUCGGACGAAUAGCUGGAGAAGACCAGAGCCCAGAGCAGAGGCAGGCCCGAGCCGAGCGCGCUGCCCAGGCAGCCAGGAAGCUUGGUUUUCCACAGGCAUCAAAAGACCUGGAAAUCCGCCCAUCUUUGGGAGAACAGAAGAUCAGCCCAUGCUGCCACGAGGGCCAGCCACCCGGAGAGCAAUCACAGUGAGCCGGAGAACAGGUGCUUCCUCUUCCUGCCGUUUGGGGACCUGCCACUUUGCCUUUUGAUGAUUGUCAGGUAUGGACCAUAGGUCCAUUAUAAUUGUUUGGAAACAGCUCCUUCCUUGAAUUGCUUUGGAAUUAAACAUGAAACAACAAUUGAGGACUGCUUGACACACAGUCAGCCAACCAUCGGCAACAUCAGCCUCAACCACACCGUUCAGGGCACUACCACCUCUAUGUCCUCCGAGAAGUUCCCAGAAUUCCAAACGUCACACCCUCACGGAAACUCUCUGAGGCCGGCAAAACCACAGCGCUGCUAGAGCACGAGGCAAAUCAUAGUCAGCCGCUGUGAAGUGGCCUUUUAUUCCCACACCUGGGAUGAAAAGGAAAAUAUACUUCCAUAACAUGUGUGUGUGUGUGUGUGUGUGUGUGUGUGUGUGUGUUUUAAGAAACCAAAAUUACAAAAUCUCACUACAGGGUACCAGAGAGAAGCAUGGGCAAAGUGUGAUUCCAGAGAAGCUUAGGGACAUGUGGCAUCCUUCAUUAAAGGUCCCAAUGACACAGCUCUGCCAUUUGGAAGAAGAUGCUUGGCCCAGAUAAGGGGACAGAGGGAACAAGUGCCUCCUCCCAGCUACUGAGGAGCCUUUGGCACAGGCCCCCACGGGACUCUGUGGUAGGCUCAACAGAAGGCUAAAAGCAGAAGGAUGGAGAGUUCUAGGUCAGGCUGAGCUACAUGGUGAGACUGCCCAAAAGAUAAAAAAUGAAGAUGGAGGCAGAGGAAUUUUUAUACCGUGGAACAGCUAGAUAUUUCCAGGAGGACGUGUUCAGAUCUAGCACUUGUUCAGAUCUUUGGAGUCUCGUUUGAUGAAGGAAGUCAGAUGUCCAGAUAAUUUUUGCAAACUUUUUCAGUGGUGAGAAAUCUUGGUGCAGUUGUGUGUCCUUAAGACGGCAUGCUGGAGCCCUAACCCUGCAGGCCUCAGGAUAUGACCCAGUGGGAAAGAGGAUCUUCAGAGGUAGCCAAACCCAGAAAGGUCAUGCUCUGACCCCAAUCCACAGCCUGUGUCCUUUCCUUGUCAUAGGAAACUCGGGACACACGAAAACACAUGGAGGAGAAGUAGUGGAAAAGCACACAGGGAGUAGAGUAGCAUGAGGCAUGGCCUGGAGACAUGUGGCCAUGGCCGAAGAGCACUCAUGACCCCGUGCACUCUGACUUAGGGACCUAUUGGUUAGGCUGCCAGACAGAGGGUACCACUCCAGAAGACACAGGAAUUCACACACCACCCAGCAACACGUGCUUGUGGUCUUCUAGGCCAAGCACACACCCGCAUGUCUAUGCGCUGGACUUGGCACAUGCACAGAGCUUAACCCAUCUCAGACCCAUUCCCACCUGCUGCUGAGCCUUUUCUUCCACCACCGUGAACAUGAGCCAACUUCUGUCCUUACCUGACCAUUACUCCUCCUCCUCCUAGCCCAGAACCAUAAAAAAAUAAAGUGUGACGAUUGGCCUUCAUGUUCUCAACACGAUGUGGAGCAGAGUGACAUGGAGGAGGAGCCCGUGGCACAUCGGCCACCAGCUUACACUGUCCUUCCCCAUCAUUAGGGAGUUCUUCAAUCAAUAUCAAACGGAAACAGUCCCCUUUGAAUUUAU